AUGCUUGGUGCUUUAGGGAGCUUGCCAACUAUAUCCAUCCCCCAUCUCAUGAAUGGCCAAGAGGAUGGUAUAGGAUGUAGAAAUUCAGCCGGCUGAUGAAGGAUAUUGCUGUGUCUUUGACAAGGAUCACACUUCUUAGCAUACUCCACAGCAUCCCUUUUCAUAGUUGGCCAGUAGUAUCCUGUCCUUAAGAUCCUUGAGAACAAUGCCCUGCC
rnacentral:lncRNA from 1 species